GGCAAGAUGGCCGAGCGGUCUAAGGCGCUACGUUAAGGUUAACCCUUAAUCUUGAGUUAAAUAUCUCAUAUCCGUAGUCCGAAAGGGCGUGGGUUCGAAUCCCACUCUUGUCA